GAUGGACGCUGGCGGCGUGCCUAAUACAUGCAAGUCGAACGAAACUUCUUUAUCACCGAGUGCUUGCACUCACCGAUAAAGAGUUGAGUGGCGAACGGGUGAGUAACACGUGGGCAACCUGCCCAAAAGAGGGGGAUAACACUUGGAGACAGGUGCUAAUACCGCAUAACCAUAGUUACCGCAUGGUAACUAUGUAAAAGGUGGCUAUACUACCGCUUUUGGAUGGGCCCGCGGCGCAUUAGCUAGUUGGUAGGGUAAAGGCUUACCAAGGCAAUGAUGCGUAGCCGAAUUGAGAGGUUGAUCGGCCACAUUGGGACUGAGACACGGCCCAAACUCCUACGGGAGGCAGCAGUAGGGAAUCUUCCACAAUGGGCGAAAGCCUGAUGGAGCAACGCCGCGUGGGUGAAGAAGGUCUUCGGAUCGUAAAACCCUGUUGUUAGAGAAGAAAGUGCGUGAGAGUAACUGUUCACGUUUCGACGGUAUCUAACCAGAAAGCCACGGCUAACUACGUG
rnacentral:rRNA from 1 species